rnacentral:lncRNA from 1 species
GUAGCAAACGGGCUCCGUUGCCACCCAUUUGUUUUCGAUGAUGGAGCCCUCAAAUCGAUGAUCGACACCGUUGAACAUGAUCUAUAUCACUUGAAGUAUCUAGAAAUUAAAUUUCAAAUAUUUUCGAUAUCAUUGACCUAAUGAUCAAAGGGUUUCAAAAUUUGUAAUUUUAAUGGUCGAUGUGAGGUGUUUUCUCGUUUAACGGUGUAAAACUAUCCAAAUCAAUUGAAUUUUGGUUAGAAAAUUUUUUAAAGUAUUUAGAACAAGAUCUACACUCUCGAUCUUGAUUACAAAAUUCCUAUCAUCACUUUUUAGAGGAUAUUCAUUUUCAGCUGUUCAUUUUU